GUGAUUAGAAAACAAAUAACCAAAAAUGAAGAUAAAAAUGGAAGCAGCAAGAGUAUUUCAUUUUACCAUCUAUUCAUUUAUGCGAAAAUUGCAAAAAGUUGAAAAGGAAACAGUGUAUAGGUGAGAAACUUCAUCUCUCUUUAAAUAGAGUGCAUAAUAAACUGGAAAAACAAGAAAAGAAAAAAUAGAGGGCUGAUAAUGAAGUAUAUGCGACGUUACGUGUUGUUUAUUGGCUUCAAAUUUGUAGUUUGGAAGAACAGAGAAAUCGUGACACGAUUUCAUCAACGUGUCACGAUUUCCAGGCAGUGAGCAUGGUUUUUUAGGGUGCUCAAUCGUGUCACAAUUUUGGGAAAACAUGACACGAUUUUCAACUUGCUGGGCACGUUUUCAGGAUAAGGUUGGUCGUACUUUGGGUCGUACACACCAAUCGUGUCACGAUUUGGACAAACGUGACACGAUUUUGACAGCUAAAGACUGCUAUAUAAGUGUUCUUGUGUAGAUUUUGAAGGAGAGCUUGAAGGGAGAGAAACUUGGAUUACAAAGGAGGUAACUUUAGUGUUGAGUGUCUUUGUAGUGAGGAUCUCUUGGGUUGGGAAACAUUGUAAACACCUUGGGUAGUGAGAUUUCACCAUUGGAAGGAUCAAAAAGCUUCCUUUUGUGUUUUCUCUUAGGAUUCAUUAUUGAGAGUGUGGGUGACACAAAAUGGGUAGAAAUUAAGUCUUGUUCUUGUGUAAGCUUAUAAACUAAUUUCUUGUAACUCUUUUGUAACACUUUCAUCAUAGUGGAUUGGAGAGCUGCUCUCUCCCCAGAUUAGGUCAUAUUGGACUGAACUGGGU
rnacentral:lncRNA from 1 species